UCUACUCCUACGGGAGGCAGCAGUGGGGAAUAUUGCACAAUGGGCGCAAGCCUGAUGCAGCGACGCCGCGUGAGGGAUGACGGCCUUCGGGUUGUAAACCUCUUUCAGUAGGGAAGAAGCGUAAGUGACGGUACCUGCAGAAGAAGCGCCGGCUAACUACGUGCCAGCAGCCGCGGUAAUACGUAGGGCGCAAGCGUUAUCCGGAAUUAUUGGGCGUAAAGAGCUCGUAGGCGGUUUGUCGCGUCUGCCGUGAAAGUCCGGGGCUCAACUCCGGAUCUGCGGUGGGUACGGGCAGACUAGAGUGAUGUAGGGGAGACUGGAAUUCCUGGUGUAGCGGUGAAAUGCGCAGAUAUCAGGAGGAACACCGAUGGCGAAGGCAGGUCUCUGGGCAUUAACUGACGCUGAGGAGCGAAAGCAUGGGGAGCGAACAGGAUUAGAUACCCUGGUAGUCCAUGCCGUAAACGUUGGGCACUAGGUGUGGGGGACAUUCCACGUUUUCCGCGCCGUAGCUAACGCAUUAAGUGCCCCGCCUGGGGAGUACGGCCGCAAGGCUAAAACUCAAAGGAAUUGACGGGGGCCCGCACAAGCGGCGGAGCAUGCGGAUUAAUUCGAUGCAACGCGAAGAACCUUACCAAGGCUUGACAUGAACCGGAAAGACCCUGAAACCACG
rnacentral:rRNA from 1 species